rnacentral:rRNA from 1 species
SARKKCGCCCUUAGAGUUUGAUCCUGGCUCAGAACGAACGCUGGCGGCGUGCUUAACACAUGCAAGUCGAACGUGAUCCAGAGCUUGCUCUGGUGAAAGUGGCGCACGGGUGAGUAACGCGUGGAUAACCUGCCCUGGUAUCUGGGAUAACAUCUCGAAAGGGGUGCUAAUACCGGAUAAGCCUACGGGAUCUUCGGAUUCUGCAGGAAAAGGAGGCCUCUAUUUAUAAGCUUCCGUAUCAUGAUGGGUCCGCGUACCAUUAGCUAGUUGGUGGGGUAAUGGCCUACCAAGGCGACGAUGGUUAGCUGGUCUGAGAGGAUGAUCAGCCACACUGGAACUGAGACACGGUCCAGACUCCUACGGGAGGCAGCAGUGGGGAAUUUUGCGCAAUGGGGGAAACCCUGACGCAGCAACGCCGCGUGAGUGAUGAAGGCUUUCGGGUCGUAAAGCUCUGUCAGAGGGGAAGGAAUGAAACGUGCUAAUAUCACGUUUUCUUGACGGUACCCUCAAAGGAAGCACCGGCUAACUCCGUGCCAGCAGCCGCGGUAAUAC